rnacentral:tRNA from 1 species
GGGUGUAGCUCAGUGGCAGAGUGUGUGCUUAGCAUGCACGAGGUCCUGGGUUCAAUCCCCAGUACCGCCA